rnacentral:rRNA from 1 species
GAUGAACGCUAGCGGCAGGCUUAACACAUGCAAGUCGAGGGGUAACAGGGUAGCAAUACCGCUGACGACCGGCAAACGGGUGCGGAACACGUACAGAAUCUACCCUUAUCUGGGGCAUAGCCCGGAGAAAUCCGGAUUAACUCCCCAUAAUAUGAAGGUGUGGCAUCACACUAUCAUUAAAAAUUUAAUUGGAUAAGGAUGACUGUGCGUCCCAUUAGCUAGUUGGUAGGGUAACGGCCUACCAAGGCGACGAUGGGUAGCUGGUGUGAGAGCACGACCAGCCACACGGGCACUGAGACACGGGCCCGACUCCUACGGGAGGCAGCAGUUGAGGAAUAUUGGUCAAUGGACGCAAGUCUGA